UACGUAGGGCGCAAGCGUUGUCCGGAAUUAUUGGGCGUAAAGAGCUCGUAGGCGGCCUGUUGCGUCCGCUGUGAAAACCCGGGGCUUAACCCCGGGCUUGCAGUGGAUACGGGCAGGCUGGAGGCAGGCAGGGGAGAACGGAAUUCCCGGUGUAGCGGUGAAAUGCGCAGAUAUCGGGAGGAACACCGGUGGCGAAGGCGGUUCUCUGGGCCUUACCUGACGCUGAGGAGCGAAAGCGUGGGGAGCGAACAGG
rnacentral:rRNA from 1 species